rnacentral:rRNA from 1 species
UACGAAGGGUGCAAGCGUUACUCGGAAUUACUGGGCGUAAAGCGUGCGUAGGUGGUUUGUUAAGUCUGAUGUGAAAGCCCUGGGCUCAACCUGGGAACGGCAUUGGAAACUGGCUUACUAGAGUGCGGUAGAGGGGUGUGGAAUUCCUGGUGUAGCAGUGAAAUGCGUAGAUAUCGGGAGGAACAUCUGUGGCGAAGGCGACACCCUGGACCAGCACUGACACUGAGGCACGAAAGCGUGGGGAGCAAACAGG